rnacentral:rRNA from 1 species
CCUACGGGUGGCAGCAGUGAGGAAUAUUGGUCAAUGGCCGGAAGGCUGAACCAGCCAUGCCGCGUGAGUGAAGAAGUAUUUCGGUAUGUAAAGCUCUAUCAGCAGGGAAGAAGAAAGACGGUACCUGACUAAGAAGCCCCGGCUAACUACGUGCCAGCAGCCGCGGUAAUACGUAGGGGGCAAGCGUUAUCCGGAUUUACUGGGUGUAAAGGGAGCGUAGACGGCUGUGCAAGUCUGAAGUGAAAGCCCGUGGCUCAACCGCGGAACUGCUUUGGAAACUGUAUAGCUUGAGUACUGGAGAGGCAGGCGGAAUUCCUAGUGUAGCGGUGAAAUGCGUAGAUAUUAGGAGGAACACCAGUGGCGAAGGCGGCCUGCUGGACAGAAACUGACGUUGAGGCUCGAAAGCGUGGGGAGCAAACAGGAUUAGAUACCCCUGUAGUC